CAUAAAAACGGAAGUUGUGAAGAUGAAACAAACUCCAUUUCGGUGGCGUACCUACAGUGGUGAUGAAUCCUCGUAAAUUUACCGCUGGGAAACGCCUGGCGAAACCACUUCUGCUUGGGACGCUAUUUGCUGGAUUAGCCACAGGUUUCGUUUACAGACACACCUUCUUUCCAGAUGUGCCAGAGCUCAGGGCUCAGCAGCAGGCCAGAAAUAAUGUCAAGCUGUUGGAAGUGCUGGAGAUGAGACAGAGGCAGAUGGAGGCGAUUGCUGAUAAGAGAAGAGGGACGAGCUGAGAUGAAGGCUGAUGAUGUUGAGCAGAUUUUCUGUUGUGGACUCGUGUUUGUGAUUCAUGUGUGACACGUGAAGGCUUUGGAAUUGUCAUGUGCAAACAUCAUCUAUACAGUCAAUAUAAGCGCCGCCGAAGUCCGUCAUACAAAAAUCUGAUGUUCACACAUUAAUAUAUAACUGAUUUAUUAUAUAUGGUCUGUUUAGAUUUUUGAAUGAUAAAUAAACACAAUUCCUGAUAUGCU